rnacentral:lncRNA from 1 species
GGAAAGUAGGAACCAAUGCGUCUACUGACUUCCUCAGAGUCACACACUGAAGCAGAUAAACUGGAGAAGGCAGCUCGGGCCAAUAAGUGACACUCAGGACCACCACUCAUACUUUUAGCAGCCGUUAACAAUCAUUUCCCAGAUCCUUUACAUCUUUGAGUGUUGCAAGACUAAUGAUAUUCUUUUUUCUUUUUCAUGAUUGGCUGGAUUACUUCUUUUAAGAAAAAACAACCUUCAUCAAAUAUCUCAGUACCCUGAGUUUGAGAUCGUAUAGGAAAACCAUGAUGCUUUUCUCUAAAUGAUAAAGAAAAAUAUGCUAAUGUCAUAUGUUUCUUUUGGAAAUGUUGCUUGAGUUUCCUCUUGACAGGAGCCAGGAAUCUUUGGCAGGCUUCUAGCUUUCUGACUCAGCAAGGUAUCCCAGGCUCAUC